UGAGGAGCGCCAAUGAAGGCGCUCUGAAAGCGCCCGUGACUUAAGCGACAAGACGCCCGGUGUAUUCGCUACAAAUAUGGUGGUAGGAUUACUGGUGGUAGGACCUCCCUUACUGGUAGUAGGACCUCUAUUACUGGUGGAAGACCUCUUGUGAGUCCGUGCGGGUAGGUACCACCAUCCUGCCUAUUUCUGCCGUCAAGCAGUAUUGCGUUUCGGUUUGAAGGGCGAGGCAGCCGUUGUAACUAUACUGAUAUCUUAGAACUGAUAUCUCAAGGGUCUGGGGCAUCUCCGUGUCCAUAGUCUCCGGUAGGAAAAGGCACAGCAUGCCGCCCACCACGCCGAGGGCACCCAAGAUCAACAGCGGUAAAUCCGAUACACCACAAACGGGGCCAGAAUUGACGCAACGUAGCCCAUGAUGUGGAUGAGAGCGACGCCCUGGGCUCUAACGACCGUGGGCAGCAGCUCAGCCGCGUACUGAAGGCCAAUGUUGUAUGAGAUGUUCACGGCGAAUCGGCCCAAGAUGGCCAGAGAUGCCGAUGGACCUCCUAUCAAAGGAAUACAGAAUGAAAGAAUAGAAUCUUUCACUCACCAACGGGAACUGCUGUGGCGAGGAGACUGAAAACUCCGCUGACCACCAUAGAACCACAUGCCAACCAUCUCCUGCCCCAUCUGAAAGGAUAUGAUGGAGAGGAAUUUAUAAGAGACCAUGUGAAUUGAAAAGGGUUGCGAACAAAUUAGUACCUGUCAAGCACCGCCGUCAAAAACGUAUCAGCCGGUAGCUCGGUGGCCGAAGCUAUUGUGAACGUCAGAAAUAUGUCCAAGCCCAGAGAACCUACAUUCCUCACGUGACCGUCGAAGAC